GGGCGGGUGGUCUAGCUGGUUAGGAUGCCGCCCUUACACGGCGGUGGUCGUGGGUUCGAAUCCCACCCCGCCCA
rnacentral:tRNA from 1 species